rnacentral:rRNA from 1 species
AGAGAAUAGAUACCCUGGUAGUCCCAGCUGUAAACGAUGCAGACUCGGUGAUGAAAUUGGCUUAUUGCUAAAUUCAGUGCCGCAGGGAAGCCGUUAAGUUUGCCGCCUGGGGAGUACGGUCGCAAGACUGAAACUUGAAGGAAUUGGCGGGGGAGCACCACAAGGGGUGAAGCCUGCGGUUCAAUUGGAGUCAACGCCGGAAAUCUUACCGGGGGCGACAGCAGAGUGAAGGUCAAGCUGAAGACUUUACCAGACAAGCUGAGAGGAGGUGCAUGGCCGUCGCCAGCUCGUGCCGUGAGGUGUCCUGUUAAGUCAGGUAACGAGCGAGAUCCCUGCCUCUAGUUGCUACCAUUAUUCUCAGGAGUAGUGGAGCUAAUUAGAGGGACCACCGUCGCUGAGACGGAGGAAGGUGGGGGCUACGGCAGGUCAGUAUGCCCGAAA